rnacentral:ncRNA from 1 species
GUACCCCCAAAGGGGUGCAAAAGAGGCGUGUGAAUAGUCCGCAUCAUUGGCCUGUACGGACGGUUCGUGAAUC